rnacentral:rRNA from 1 species
UUGAACGCUGGCGGCAUGCUUUACACAUGCAAGUCGAGCGGCAGCGCGGGGGCAACCCUGGCGGCGAGCGGCGAACGGGUGAGUAAUGCAUCGGAACGUGUCCCGUGGUGGGGGAUAACCCGGCGAAAGCCGGGCUAAUACCGCAUAUGCUCUGAGGAGGAAAGUGGGGGACCCGCAAGGGCCUCACGCCAUGGGAGCGGCCGAUGUCCGAUUAGCUUGUUGGUGGGGUAAUGGCUUACCAAGGCGACGAUCGGUAGCUGGUCUGAGAGGGUGAUCAGCCACACUGGGACUGAGACACGGCCCAGACUCCUACGGGAGGCAGCAGUGGGGAAUUUUGGACAAUGGGGGCAACCCUGAUCCAGCCAUGCCGCGUGCGGGAAG